rnacentral:rRNA from 1 species
AUUGAACGCUGGCGGCAUGCUUUACACAUGCAAGUCGAACGCGAAAGGGGGCAACCCUGAGUAGAGUGGCGCACGGGUGAGUAAUACAUCGGAACGUGUCCUGUAAUGGGGGAUAACGCAGCGAAAGCUGUGCUAAUACCGCAUACGUCCUACGGGAGAAAGCGGGGGAUCGCAAGACCUCGCGUUAUAGGAGCGGCCGAUGCCGGAUUAGCUAGUUGGUGGGGUAAAGGCCUACCAAGGCAACGAUCCGUAGCUGGUCUGAGAGGAUGAUCAGCCACACUGGGACUGAGACACGGCCCAGACUCCUACGGGAGGCAGCAGUGGGGAAUUUUGGACAAUGGGCGCAAGCCUGAUCCAGCCAUGCCGCGUGAGUGAAGAAGGCCUCGG